UUUUAUUUGUUAUAAUGGAUGAAGAGAAGUUUUGGGACGGAGGCUAAUCCAUUACGAAGGGGUGAUGCCAAUGUAUCUUCUUUUUGUCGCUCCUAGAAAGGAACAGCAGAUGAGCAUAUACGAAGCACUGACAUUAGCAAUUUCUUUUGCAAUGCUAGUUCUUUAUAUUGAUCGAGACAAAGA
rnacentral:sRNA from 1 species